GGAGGAGCGGUCGCCGCGCGUUAGGCAGGGAGCGGUGCAGGGUCCUGGUUCCUACUGAGCCAUGAUAUAAAACUUGAUUGAAGAUGAUCUUCUUCAAGCUGUGAUUCAUGGACCCAGGCUCGUCUUUCCUGUGCAGGUCUCCAACAGCUGGGGAGCCCAUUGUGGACUGCAGGCUCCUUAUUCCUCAGGAGGUGCUCACCUUUACUGGACUCAGAGAAAGAACCAAGAAGUGAUUCACGUUGGUAUUUACCUUUUCUUCAAUUGCAUAUAUAUAUAAUUUUAGCUGGACUUGUGACAUAUUAAAUUCCUGGACCAGGGAUAGAUCUGAGCUGCAGCUGUAACCUAUGCCACAGUCACAGCAA